GGUCACCUAAAGAGAGAACCACAGGCACUGUAGCCACUUUAUUAGGCUGCUGCGCCCUGGGGAAAAACCUUGAAUACACUGUUGCCUUGCACAAGCUAUAACGUGUCACCGUCAGCUGGUGGCCAAGGAGGUCCACGCCCCACUUAGCAGACCCCACCUUCACUCGUGGAUGAUGGAGGAGCCCCAGGAGGAGGAGUGCUGGGGCCAAAUAUAGUUCAGAAGUUAUUUGUUGUUAUAUAUUUACUAUUAUAUUUAGCAAUACGAAAAAGCAGGCAACAGUUUUCCGCUGAGGUACCAUACAAAAUAAUUUCAAAAUAAUUGCAUUAAAAGUUAACUAAGGGAUAAAGUGGCCCCUUUAACAUACUGUAUAUUGUGUGCUUUAAACAGUUCCUCCAUUGUUUUGGUCUAAAAUGCCUGAAUUUGCGGCAGCUUUUUCAGAAAGUUGUGGCAAAAGGUGAAAUUUUUUUGGCUUUUUUUUUUCAUUAACAUUGAAUCAACUUGUGAUUUUAUCAAUUUGUUGUUAAUGUUUUAAGUGCAAACGUAACCUCCAAAAAGCACAACAAAAUUGGAAAACAAAUACUGCAUUGAUGUUUUACACGCUUUAUAGCACAAAGAUUUAAAAGUAGACACUGGAUGGUAAAAGCGCACACUCAGAUCUCAUUGUCAAA